rnacentral:rRNA from 1 species
CAGUCGCCGCGGGAAUACGGAGGGCGCGAGCGUUACCCGGAUUUACUGGGCGUAAAGGGCGUGUAGGCGGCCUGGGGCGUCCCAUGUGAAAGGCCACGGCUCAACCGUGGAGGAGCGUGGGAUACGCUCAGGCUAGAGGGUGGGAGAGGGUGGUGGAAUUCCCGGAGUAGCGGUGAAAUGCGCAGAUACCGGGAGGAACGCCGAUGGCGAAGGCAGCCACCUGGUCCACUUCUGACGCUGAGGCGCGAAAGCGUGGGGAGCAAACCGGAUUAGAUACCCGCGUAGUCCCUGUCUCUUAUAA